GGGGUUGUGGCUCAGCGGUAGAGCACUUGCCUAGCCCAUGCAAGGUCCUGGGUUCGAUCCUCAGCACCA
rnacentral:tRNA from 1 species